GAUGAACGCUGGCGGCGUGCCUAAUACAUGCAAGUCGAGCGAACAGACGAGGAGCUUGCUCCUCUGACGUUAGCGGCGGACGGGUGAGUAACACGUGGAUAACCUACUUAUAAGACUGGGAUAACUUCGGGAAACCGGAGCUAAUACCGGAUAAUAUAUUGAACCGCAUGGUUCAUUAGUGAAAGACGGUUUUGCUUUCACUUAUAGAUGGAUCCGCGCCGCAUUAGCUAGUUGGUAAGGUAACGGCUUACCAAGGCGACGAUGCGUAGCCGACCUGAGAGGGUGAUCGGCCACACUGGAACUGAGACACGGUCCAGACUCCUACGGGAGGCAGCAGUAGGGAAUCUUCCGCAAUGGGCGAAAGCCUGACGGAGCAACGCCGCGUGAGUGAUGAAGGUCUUCGGAUCGUAAAACUCUGUUAUUAGGGAAGAACAAAUGUGUAAGUAACUAUGCACGUCUUGACGGUACCUAAUCAGAAAGCCACGGCUAACUACGUG
rnacentral:rRNA from 1 species